ensembl:lncRNA
GGGGUGGUUGGCUAACUCUGGGGUACUGUAGGUGGGGGUGGUUGGCUAGCUCUGGGGCACUGUAGGUGGGGGUGGUUGGCUAGCUCUGGGGCACUGUAGGUGGGGGUGGUUGGCUAUCUCUGGGGCACAGUAGGUGGGGGUGGUUGGCUAGCUCUGGGGUACUGUAGUUGGGGGUGGUAGGCUAGCUCUGGGGCUGGGUGGGGUCGGGGUGGGUGAGGUUGUCUCCAGUCUUCAGGGAUGAUCAUACAAAGAGCCCGCACAUACACAUGGGACCUGCAAUGGCAUCUAGACACCAUUACAGAUAUGAAUAACUCUGUGUCUGUGUCCCUUGUGACCCCAUCCUCACACUUCUUUGUAGCUGACGCUCCUGCGUCACGCUCGACCGAACCGCCAG